rnacentral:lncRNA from 1 species
CAAACCUAAAAGGAAAAGAGAAUCAUUGUGAUUAGAACAAACAAACAAUCGCCGCAUCAUAGCAACAAACAAAACAACUAAAAAAGAGAUUAACCUAAAUCAAUAAAACCCUAAUUAAUUUUUACAUGAAUAUUUGUCGCAUAUCGUAAGUAGGGUUAGUAAUCGCUGCUUCAUUGCUUCCCUCUCCGCUACUGCUUUGACAUGCCUAUUCAUCGCUAAAACUGUCUUGAUAUAAAGUUUCCGAUUAUUAAAACGAUCCACAGAAGAUAAUGCUUGUGACAUCGAAGUUAGAUCGAAUGCACUUUUUUUCUUUGUCGGGACAUUAGUCUUCACAAGAAGAGCCUUGUCGCUUGCGUUGUUGAUAGCUUCUUUGAGGGAACUUAGAUCAAAAGAAGAACCUCCAUCAUCGUUGAUCUUAAUU